AACCAAAUUCUCCUGAAUCUCUCGGCACUGAUAUCUUCAGCGACUAAUGGGAAGAAUAUACUCACAACUUUUUUGGCACUUCAAUUGAGGAAGUAGUCAACAAAAUUUUUGGUGACCGGCCCAAAAAACCAUCCGUCCCUCAAUCUAAAAUGGCACCCCAAGGUAUACCCUUGUUUCUACUUUUAUUCUUUAGAUAUUUGAAUGAUUUUACUAACAAACCUUCAAUUUCUUAGGUGGUCGGG
rnacentral:lncRNA from 1 species